rnacentral:rRNA from 1 species
AUUGAACGCUGGCGGCAGGCCUAACACAUGCAAGUCGAGCGGAUGAAGGGAGCUUGCUCCUGGAUUCAGCGGCGGACGGGUGAGUAAUGCCUAGGAAUCUGCCUGGUAGUGGGGGAUAACGUCCGGAAACGGGCGCUAAUACCGCAUACGUCCUGAGGGAGAAAGUGGGGGAUCUUCGGACCUCACGCUAUCAGAUGAGCCUAGGUCGGAUUAGCUAGUUGGUGGGGUAAAGGCCUACCAAGGCGACGAUCCGUAACUGGUCUGAGAGGAUGAUCAGUCAAACUGGAACGGAGAAACGGUCCAGACUCCUAGGGGAGGAAGCAGGGGGGAAUAUUGGACAAGGGGCGAAAGCCUGAUCCAGCCAUGCCGGGGGGGGGAAGAAGGUCUUCGGAUGGUAAAGCACUUUAAGUGGGGAGGAAGGGCAGUAAGUUAAUACCUUGCUGUUUUGACGUUACCAACAGAAUAAGCACCGGCUAACUUCGG